UCCUAACAACAAACUUUUUUUCAUUUACUCUCAUGAGUAAAACUCCUUUCUCAUCUUCUAAUUGAAGGUGAGAUUUUUU
rnacentral:antisense_RNA from 1 species